rnacentral:rRNA from 2 species
AAAGGCGCAAUGAAAGUGAAGGUCCGCCUUGCGCGGACCGAGGGAGGAUGGGUGGUCCCGAGGGACCGCCUCGCACUCCCGGGGCGUCUCGUUCUCAUCGCGAGAAGAGGCGCACCCAGAGCGUACACGCUGGGACCCGAAAGAUGGUGAACUAUGCCUGGUCAGGACGAAGUCAGGGGAAACCCUGAUGGAGGUCCGUAGCGAUUCUGACGUGCAAAUCGAUCGUCGGAACUGGGUAUAGGGGCGAAAGACUAAUCGAACCAUCUAGUAGCUGGUUCCCUCCGAAGUUUCCCUCAGGAUAGCUGGCGCUCGCUUCUCGCGAGUCUCAUUCGGUAAAGCGAAUGAUUAGAGGCAUUGGGGUCGAAACGGCCUCAACCUAUUCUCAAACUUUAAAUGGGUGAGAUCUCCGGCUUGCUUGAACUGUGAAGCCGCGAGAUAUCGGAUCAGAGUGCCAAGUGGGCCACUUUUGGUAAGCAGAACUGGCGCUGUGGGAUGAACCAAACGCUGAGUUAAAGCGCCUAAAUCGACGCUUAUGGGA